GAGCAAGUGCGUCUGAUGUAAAAUGGCGAAAUCUCUUGCAUUGAAGGUUGGCGAAAUCAUGUUGCGAUUCUCCGUGCCUUUCAAAUUUCCUAUCUUUUUGAUUACGGCCUCGAACAAGUCGCUACAUU
rnacentral:snoRNA from 1 species